GACGAACGCUGGCGGCGUGCUUAACACAUGCAAGUCGAACGCUGAAGACCUGGCUUUUGUUGGGUUGGAUGAGUGGCGAACGGGUGAGUAACACGUGAGUAACCUGCCCUCUUCUUUGGGAUAACGCCCGGAAACGGGUGCUAAUACUGGAUAUUCACUGGCCUUCGCAUGGGGGUUGGUGGAAAGGUUUGUUCUGGUGGGGGAUGGGCUCGCGGCCUAUCAGCUUGUUGGUGGGGUGAUGGCCUACCAAGGCUUUGACGGGUAGCCGGCCUGAGAGGGUGACCGGUCACAUUGGGACUGAGAUACGGCCCAGACUCCUACGGGAGGCAGCAGUGGGGAAUAUAGCACAAAGGGCGAAAGCCUGAUGCAGCGACGCCGCGUGAGGGAUGGAGGCCUUCGGGUUGUAAACCUCUUUCGCUCAUGGUCAAGCCGCAACUGUGGGUUGUGGUGAGGGUAGUGGGUAAAGAAGCGCCGGCUAACUACGUG
rnacentral:rRNA from 1 species